CCUUAGCCUGCGGGUCCCUGCCCAGAAGGAAAGGGGAGUCGGUGGCUUGCGGCUUCUGGAGGAAGGUUCGGAAUCACCACCAGAGGGAAGGGAAGAAGGAGCAGACCAGAGAAGCAGGACCGGGACGAGUGGGGGCCCUGCUAUGCUUGGAAACAGUGAGCUGCUGCUCCAAGAAUGAAGACCAGAGAAUGAAGUAAAGGUAGGGCCAGUCUUCGGGGCCCUGCCCAUGCACCCACUUAGAGGAGGCUCUAGGCCAAGGGGCUGUUGGCUCCUCUGGUCCAAACACAGCUGGCCUUUUCUACUUCUAUCUGCAACAGCAGAAUCCUGCCCGACCUCUUGCCACUAGGCCCCUCCUGCACGACUGGCGCCCUGGUUUGUCUUCUGCGUCCUGGUUUGGCCUCCACUGCUGUCCCUGUUCCAGGUGGGCCAGGAAGCAUUCCUCCUGCUGUGGGGAGGGCUGAAGGCAGUGCUGAGCCCCUGGAGAGGGCCGUCCCUGCCCCUAGCACAGCAGUGCCUGCAGAUUCUGAUAAAGCAGGCUGACUCCACCAGGCCCUGCUGGCUCCCACCCACUGCGAUAAGCCCACCAGGGGCCCACCUGCCAGCCCAGCACGGACCCAUGUCCUGGCUUGUGCACAAGGGACACAGCUCCCAGGGGGUGCCCAACUAUUACCACUACGGGCUCCAGAUGUGUGACCCUCCACCUCCAGCUGGACCUAGGACAUACCAGUUGCUGAUGGCUUUAGAGCCCCAGCAGG